UACGUAGGUGGCGAGCGUUGUCCGGAUUUACUGGGCGUAAAGAGCGCGCAGGCGGUCGGAUCAGUCGAAUGUGAAAGCCCCCGGCUUAACUGGGGAGGGUCAUUCGAUACUGUUCGACUCGAAGGCAGGAGAGGGAAGUGGAAUUCCCGGUGUAGUGGUGAAAUGCGUAGAUAUCAGGAGGAACACCGGUGGUGUAGACGGCUCUCUGGACCGUAACUGACGCUGAGGUGCGAAAGCCGUGGGGAG
rnacentral:rRNA from 1 species